UUCUUCUUCUUCUUCUUCUUCUUUGUUUUUCGUGUGCUGAGAGCUAUCAGAAUUAAAGCUUCUGCAUGGGUUUGGGGCUGGUUCUUGGAGCUGAAAUUAUGUUUCCAUUCUUGGGUUGAGACUUUCAAGCUCAGUUUUGGGGCUACAAGGAACAGACAUCACAGUUUUCUCUUUCUUCUUCUUCUUCUUCUGCUUCUUCUUCUUCUUCUUCUUUUUCUUCUUCUUCUUCUUCUUCUGCCUCUCAACAGCAGGCCUUUUUGUACCCUGAUAGUUGCUCCACGUUGACUACCCUUCCAUUUUCGACAGGGUUCUCGAUCCAAGACUUCACUGGUCUUCAGCAUUCAAUUGGGCUCAAUCAGCUUACCCCCA
rnacentral:misc_RNA from 1 species